CCGGGGAAUGGUCCCACCUCCCACAUGGGUGAACAAUCAAGGUAAUCUCCCAGACAUGCUCAUGGGCCAAUCUGAUCCAGGCAAUUCCUAAAGACUUCCUUCUCAGAUUCAGUUCUUUUACCUGUGGAGGCCUGACUAUUGCAACACCAUUUGUUGAAAGGUGAUCUUUGAUCUGCUGUGUUGCCUUUGAUUCCCCACCAAAGAUCAGUGGACUGGAUUUUGGAAUUUGAGAAUUACUGAAAGACCCCCGAAGAGGUACUUUCGUAGAGGGAGACCCGCACCCAGGAAUCAGCGAGACCACGAACUUGGAUGCAAACUGCA
rnacentral:lncRNA from 1 species